rnacentral:misc_RNA from 1 species
UAGGUCCGGACUCAGCCA